rnacentral:rRNA from 1 species
AUUGAACGCUGGCGGCAGGCCUAACACAUGCAAGUCGAACGAGGGGCGGACGGGAGAGUAAUGUCUGGGAAACUGCAUGAUGGAGGGGGAUAACUACUGGAAACGGUAGAUAAUACCGCAUACCAUCAGAUGUGCCCCGAUGGGAUUAGAUAGUGUGUGGGGAAACGGCUCACCAAGGCGACGAUCCCUAGCUGGUAUGAGAGGCUGACAAGCCACACUGGAACUGAGACACGGUCCAGACUCCUACGGGCGGCAGCAGUGGGGAAUAUGGCACAAUGGGCGAAAGCCUGAUGCAGCCAUGCCGCGUGUAUGAAGAAGGCCUUCGGGUGGUAAAGUACUUUCAUCGGGGAGGCGUUACCCGCAGAAGAAGCACCGGCUAACUCCGUGCCAGCAGCCGCGGUAAUAC